GUCUGAGUUGAGGUGGCCAUGAGGAAUUUGUAGGCAAGUUUAGGGGGUUGUCUAUGACUUUUGCCUUUUCUCGACCUUUAGAUCCUACUGAAAGUUUUAGGAACUAAAAAAGGUACUCCUUCCGGAUAAAAAAGAGUGUCCACUUAGCCAUUUAUAUACCCUUUAAGAAAAUACUAUCUCCUAGACAAAAAUAGGUAAUUUGACUAAAUUGUCCCUAAUUAAAUAGGUAUUGAGAUUUGAUCACACAAUACUUAAUAGAGGAAAAUUUGGAAAAAUAAGAUUGAUUAUUUCUUAAUUUGAUAAGUGCACACUCUUUUUGACCAAAAAAAAAAAAAAAAGACUAAAUAGACACUCUUUUUGAUCUGGAGGGAAGUUUUGUCCAUCCAAUUUCGUUAUAAGUCCUAACUAAAUAAAAUUAACGUGUAUUUUCUUCUAGCUUUAUUCAUGUUGACCUAUUGACUUUUAGAGAUUACACUCCCCAAAACGUUAUAUUAACUUAAUGCACUUACGUUAAUGAUAGUCGUAGUUAGGGUUGUACAGGGCAAACCGAUAAACCGCACCAAACCGACAAACCGAACCAAACCGGAAAAAAAACCCGACUAGUGGUUUUGUUUGAUUUGGUUUGGUGUUUGGAAAAAAAACCCGACCAUUAUAGGGUUGGUUUGGUUUUAACUAAAAAAAGUCAAAUCGAACCCAAACCAACCUGAUUAUAGAUAUACUACUUUUAAAUUAUGUUAUGCAUAAAAAUAUUUAUUAAAAUGUAAUUUAUAAAUAUUUUUUUAAAUUUUUUCAUAAUUUUUGUUUUCUUUCUUACAUUUAGAUUUGGAUUUAAGAAGCCCAUCUAAAUAAUAUACAAAAAAAAAAAAAAAAAAAAAAAACCCCAUAAGGAAAUGAACACCACAAGUCCACAAGUCCAAAAGACCAAAACACAAAUGCAAAUUUAGCCCCAAUUCGGUUACAGAAACAGAACCUUCUCCCAAUACUAGGUCUAGCACACAAAAGUUAUAUGCAGAUCCCUCUUUUGUGAAAAACUGCAAAUACUUUCUCCUUUUCUCAUUUCAGAUCCCUUUCUCCUUUUCUCUUUUGCUUUCCUCUCAAAUCAAAGAAAUAAUAUGACACUCAGUAGCUUGUGAUCUUAAUUCUUAGCCAUCGUUCGCCUUUUCUCAUUUCAGAUCCUUUUCUCAUUUCAGAUUAAUCACAGAGCACUCGGAUCUUAUGAUCUUAGGCUACAGGCUACAAGACUCAACUUUACACUGUAUAAGUGCAGAAAUCCAAGAGGCUGCAGCCUUUGUUUAUUUUUGCCCAGUUGUUGUAGUAUAUUGCACUGAUUUGGAUUUUUGCCCAAUCUUCAAGCUGCAGUGAUUCCUUUCAGUUGCUGUAGUAUAUUGCACUGAUUUGGAUUUUUGUUUUUGCUACAUCUGACAUUUUAUGGCCAUUUGACAUUUUAGUUAUAUUAUAAAGUUAAAACUUCAAACA